UUCGGGAACCUCUGACACAGGUGCUGCAUGCUGUCGUCAGCUCGUGUCGUGAGAUGUUGGGUUAAGUACCCGUAACGAGCGCAACCCUUGUCCUUAGUUACCAGCACGUUAUGGUGGCACUCUAAGGAGACUGCCGGUGACAAACCGGAGGAAGGUGGGGAUGACGUCAAGUCAUCAUGGCCCUUACGGCCUGGGCUACACACGUGCUACAAUGGUCGGUACAAAGGGUUGCCAAGCCGCGAGGUGGAGCUAAUCCCAAUAAAACCGAUCGUAGUCCGGAUCGCAGUCUGCAACUCGACUGCGUGAAGUCGGAAUCGCUAGUAAUCGUGAAUCAGAAUGUCACGGUGAAUACGUUCCCGGGCCUU
rnacentral:rRNA from 1 species